GGAGAGGUGACCGAGUGGCCGAAGGUACCCGCUUGCUAAGCGGGCCUAGGAGAAAUCCUAGCGCGGGUUCGAAUCCCGCCCUCUCCGCAA
rnacentral:tRNA from 1 species